CCCUUAGAUGUUCUGGGCCGCACGCGCGCUACACUGUUCGACGCAGCGAGUCUUAACCUUGACCGAAAGGUUUGGGUAAUCUUCAGCAAAGUCGAACGUGAUGGGGAUCGAUCAUUGCAAUUAUUGAUCGUGAACGAGGAAUUCCUAGUAAGUGCAAGUCAUCAGCUUGCGCUGAUUACGUCCCUGCCCUUUGUACACACCGCCCGUCGCUACUACCGAUUGAAUGGUUUAGUGAGAUCCCUGGAUUGACGCUGGCUAGGGGGCGACCCUUGGCCAGACUGUUGAGAAACUGCUCAAACUUGAUCAUUUAGAGGAAGUAAAAGUCGUAACA
rnacentral:rRNA from 1 species